GCCCAAGCCGCCUGCAGUGGAAGCAUGGAGUCUUAACCACUGGGGUGCCAGGGAAGUCCUGUAAAGUCCCUCUUUUACUUUGCUGUCUCAGCGAGAGAAAGACGGCCCCCUGCCAGGACUUGCCAGUCUGAUUGUCAUCCACUCCAACUCUUCUGUUUCUCUGAGGCCCAGUGCAGCCAGUCCACGCCUGCUUCCCCGCCACAGCCCAGCACUGAGCCCCGGGGGGCGGAGGCCUUCGUCCACUGAAGUCUUGAACCCCUCAAAGUCAUCUAAGAGAGUUGUAGUCAACUACUCCCAGGCUCCUCUUAAUGUUGAUAUUUUGACCUCUUCUGAUGAAUCAUGAAUGUUCUUCAUGGCAUCUAAAAUGGAGACACAGGUUUGAUCCCUAGUCUGGGAAGGUCCCACGUGCUUCAGAGCAACUAAGCCUGUGUUCCACAAGUGCUGAGCCAGUGCUCCAGAGCCCGGAGCUGCAACUGCGGAAGCCCGCAUGCCCGAGAGCUUGUGCUCCACAGCAAGAGAAGUAAGAGGAGCCCACACACCUCAACUCGAGAGUAGCCCCACUUGCCACAACCGAAG
ensembl:lncRNA